AAGAAGGUAUCUCACUGAUGGAGA
rnacentral:siRNA from 1 species